CCUACGUGAGGCAGCAGUGAGGAAUAUUGGUCAAUGGGCUUACGCCUGAACCAGCCAAGUCGCGUGAGGGAAGACUGCCCUAUGGGUUGUAAACCUCUUUUGUCAGGGAGCAACGCCGGCUACGUGUAGCCGGACUGAGAGUACCUGAAGAAAAAGCAUCGGCUAACUCCGUGCCAGCAGCCGCGGUAAUACGGAGGAUGCGAGCGUUAUCCGGAUUUAUUGGGUUUAAAGGGUGCGUAGGCGGAAUGCCAAGUCAGCGGUAAAAUCGCGGGGCUCAACCUCGCUCCGCCGUUGAAACUGGCGUUCUUGAGUGGGCGAGAAGUAUGCGGAAUGCGUGGUGUAGGGGUGAAAUGCAUAGAUAUCACGCAGAACUCCGAUUGCGAAGGCAGCAUACCGGCGCCCAACUGACGCUGAAGCACGAAAGCGUGGGUAUCGAACAGGAUUAGAUACCCCAGUAGUC
rnacentral:rRNA from 1 species